GUCACCCCUGGCAGUUGGGGCCAGUGGCCCUUUCCUCUCACACAGCUCCUUUGUCCUGAUUUCCUGGAGAUGUGUGCGCAUGCAGUUCCCUCCACCUGGAAUACUCAUUCCAGAAAUCCUGCCAUUCAUUGAUUUGUUCUCUUGAUCUCUUCAUUUAUGUAUCACCUUCUAAAACAAGCCCUCCACAUCCCAGACACUCCACCUCACAGAGCGCCCCACGCCAUGACUAGCUAACUUCUUCAGAAGCCUCGCCUCUAUCUCAAAGGCCACUCAAAAAUAAGGAACUCUGGAAGGCUGGGAGCCUUCUCUGAGCCAUCUGGGUGGCUUAUUCUUAGGGCCUGCUGCUUAGAAGACAGCCAACCCCCGCUCCUCCAGCUGCCUACAGUACAUGCGCUGUAUGGAAAGCAUCCACUACAUCCAGAAACAGAACACUCGGCAUGUGACAGGCGGUGCCUGUCGUCACUAUUAAUGACGGGCAGAAAUGUUUGAUCUCCCAAGCAGUCGCUCUGCCAGUUCCUCUCCUACACUGCUCCCACACUGGUGAACCCUCCGCCACUUCACAAAAGUCACGCUGUGGAUUUCAGAGGUUACUCGCCAUCAGACUGAGUUGCUGGAAGCUCCUUGUUACUAAUCAUCUUUUCAUGUUACUGCUUCCGUCAGUAUCUUUGGGCUUCUCAGUCCCAUGCGUGGUGAGCAGAAGGGCCUGGCUAUUGUCUUCUGGAAGCCUCUAGCUUCGUCACAUGUCAGAACUGAAAGGCAUCCUUAAGAUUGUUACAGAUCUCGUCAGACUUUUGGCGGGCUUGUCCCCAACCCCGCUAAAGCUUGCUUCUUAGAAGCCAGGUUUUCUAUCCCACUGAAAAUCAUGAUCUUAGAUCUAGGGCAGAUCUCACAGACUGACAAGGAAACCCAGGACUCGAGAGGUGGCCCUUUCGACUCAGAGACACACGACCCACUAGAAGCAUGCCUGUCAGAAUCUCAACCCCAUUCUUAACACAGCCCUGCCUACAAUAACAUGUUAUCUGUUCUGAAAACUCAGGAACCCUGAGAAGAUGGCUUCAGCCUGAGUGUUUCAGAAGAUGUGAUCCGUAUGGUCCAGACUACAAGGAAUGUGCAAAAACCCAGAGAGAUUCCAGUCUCACCAAGGGCUUUCCAACAACACAGUGACAGAAAGGGUACCAGUUAUCAGGGACAUCUGAAACUCCCAACAAAUCUCCAUUUCUGUUUUGAGUUCAAGUGAUACCUUAUAGAGUGACCUGGUAACCUAGAUCCCUUCAGAAACAACAGCCAAGUUUCCAGCACCUGGGCUCCCAGCAUUCCAUUCGGGUUCUAUGGUUGAUUGGCUGGCAUACGGGGCUGAUGGGUGGUUUCUCUUGCCUCUUAAAACUCCAGGCAACAUCCUAGGAGCUUUGGGUUUAGCGUCUUCAAAUCCUCAGCAGUUCCCCUAAAAGUCUGUCCCAUUAAACAUAAAAUCCACAGAACACACACCAAGUUCCAUUUCUCUUCCCCUAAUAAAUCAGGUAAAUUGCCUCCUUUGUUUUUAAGACCAUUUCAAGCUCACCUUUAACAUGUUUG